rnacentral:rRNA from 1 species
AUGGCCCAGGCCGUUUACUGCCUCCACACAAGGCCGUUCGAUGAUGCAACGCUCAAGCUGAUCACCCUUGCCAGCACCCUAGACUCCCAUGAAAUAUCUAGUCAAAAAAAUGGAUACACACUAUUCAUCGCAUUUGUCAUCGAGCGAUUGCACCACUAUCUUCAGAAGCUCAUCACCCUGAGGAAAUCAGCCAACACCUCCCAGAGAGGAGCUUGA